rnacentral:siRNA from 1 species
GAAGAAAGGAGCAAGAUUGAUUGG